rnacentral:rRNA from 1 species
UGGGGAAUCUUGCGCAAUGGGGGAAACCCUGACGCAGCCACGCCGCGUGGAGGAAGACACCCCUAUGGGGCGUAAACUCCUUUUCUGCCGGAAGAAAACCCCAGUCUCUGGGGCAUGACGGUACGGCAGGAAUAAGCACCGGCUAACUCCGUGCCAGCAGCCGCGGUAAUACGGAGGGUGCAAGCGUUGUCCGGAAUCACUGGGCGUAAAGGGUGUGCAGGCGGACUUGUAAGUCAGAGGUGAAAUCCUGCGGCUUAACCGUAGAAGUGCCUUUGAUACUGCAAGUCUUGAGUCCUAGAGAGGUUGUCGGAAUUCGUGGUGUAGCGGUGAAAUGCGUAGAUAUCACGAGGAACACCAGAGGCGUAAGCGGACAACUAGAUAGGUACUGACGCUGAGGCACGAAAGCGUGGGGAGCAAACA